rnacentral:ribozyme from 1 species
UUUUUUUUUUUUUUUUUUUUUUUUUUUUUUUUUUUUUAGAAUAAGUGAUUAAUAUAAUCAAAGCUUCUAA